UUCUCUCUCUCAUUUCUUCAUCUUCUUCCUUCUUCAUUUCUCCUUCUUCGUUCUUCCUUCUUCUUGUCCGGAUACAACACAGAGAGAGUGAGAGGGAGAGAACAGGAGAGAUUAGGGAGAGCAGAGACGAGAUGACACAGAGAGAGAGGAAGAGUCAGAGAUCGGGAGAGAGGGAGGUCGCUGAGAGAGAGAGAGAGACCGAACCCGGGAGAAGACCAAGACCGGAAGCCCGAAUUCCGAUGGGUCGAAGGAGGGCCAACGGCGUCUUCCAGCAGACCAGGACACAAUUCCGGCGAGGCAGAGUGAUUUUCGGCGGAACCCAGACCCAACUUCCGGCGAACCCGUAAGCCGUGUGACCCGUUGAACCCGAGAGAACCAGUCCUCCGUGGCAAUUGUCGGCGACCAGAAACCGAAAUCCGGCGAUUGAGGAGCUCCGGCGGAACCCAGGAGCUUGGACCAGCGAGCCCAGAAAACCCGAGACCCGUACACGUGAAACCCGACCCUCUAGGAACGGUUUUCCGGUGAAUUUUCCGGCGGAAUCAGUGGCGAAUUCCGGUGGAUUUGCUAUGAAAAUCCUUGGGUUGGCAGUGUGUGUGUGUGCACUGAUGGCCGAGUAGUGUGUGCGCUGUGAUGGAAUUUCUGUGAUGUUGGUUUAAAGAAAUCAUUGUAAUUUUGGAGUUCCUGUUUGUGGAUGGUUGUUCCGGUCGGUGAUGUGUGUAUUGAUUUUUGGGUUACUGUUCCGGCAGUGUAUAUGAGUGCUGGCUGUUUGGUGUCUCGGCUGGACCGUGUGUGUCUCUGUUGCUAGUGUCGGCAGUGGGUGUAUUUUUGGCAUAUGCGUGUGAUGUUGGAUGGGUGUAUAUGGGUUUUGGGGAUCGGUUGUGCUAUGGAGAUUUGAUUAUGAGUGUUCUGAUUUGGUGUUUUGUGGACUGGAUUGUGAAAUGGCCAAGAGGCUACUGUUUUUGGGUUUUGCUAGCC